rnacentral:misc_RNA from 1 species
CACCUCUCAAGCGUAGCUUGGUAUUGGGCCUCGCUCCCUCAGAAGGGCGUGCCUGAAAAGUAGUGGCGGUCCGGCGUGGCCUUGAACGUAGUAAAUUUUACCCCCGUUCUGAAGGUCCGCGUCGCGGCUGGCCAGAAUCGCCCACCUCUCAAG